CGUCCAAAUUAACGUCCCAGAUCAAAUAUUCUGGCGAGCAGACGCGCCAUCGUCUGCCAAUUUUCGUACUCCACCUCGCCGAUCCCCCACCGCAACUCCGUGAUUUCCGAAUCAAUUCCACCGGAAUCGUGGCUCCCCCACACUUUUUUCGUUAGGCCCUGAAAGAACGGAUCCCCGGCAACCUAUAGCGGCGGCGGAAGAAGGCAUGGGUACCGAAGGGGCGACGACGAUGGUGUUCGUGGCCGAGGAAGGGAGGCGGCAGCGGUGAUGGUGGAGGCCGCGGCCGUGGCUACAAAGGGGUUGGUCAUGGUGGACACUUCCGAGGCUAUCAUCGGGGCGGCAACAACUAUGGCGGCCUUGGUGCGCACAGUAACUACGGCGGCCGCGGCAGCAGAGGAGGAGGAGCCGCCCCCGACAUGCACCAAGCCGCGGGGUCUCCCCUCUCCGAGAGCUACCACAUAGAGGCGGCCCAGCUCCGGGAGAAGUUCCAGGCGAUGGACGCGGGUUGGUGCCGCUGUAGAUCCAACCGACCGGCGAUGGAGCAGCUGUCGGCGUUCCUCCGCGCGGCACCAGGCUUCACGAUCUCCACCACGAUGGGCGUCACAAGCCCAAGGGAGCGCGUCGAGGCCAUGGCGAUGCUGCUCCCCUUCCUACCGUUGUUGCCGCGUUCCACCACUUGCGGCAGCAAGCAAAUGGCACAGCCAGAGAAGCCGCCUGCCGAGGAGGCAGCUCCAGCUGCAGCACCGGAUAAGUGACCCCUCAGGGCAUAAGACAAAGUUCUUUAGUUACACGGCUGCAACUUAAUUUGUUUCCUUUCUAUUUGUGCAGAUUUUGAAUACAGUGUAGUACAGAACACCCACAAAAUCAUCACAGGGAUUCAUGAACUCACUUUCGAAUGGAAGAAAUGUGUUGUUCAAUUGGCAUCAACCCGAUCGAUCACUUGCCUGAUAAAUCUCCUGUCGUCUGAAUCUGGUUCCUCUGCGGAUUAUUCUGAUGUUUACAGCGUCGGAUUUGGUGCAGUGGAAGGGGAGACCGAGGAGGAAAUGGCGACCAAGAGGAGCGUGGGCACCCCUGGGCCACAAGGACCUCAGGAGCAGAAUGUGUUCCUUCGUGCCGAUCUGAACAUUCUGCUGGACGACGACCGGGAACAUCACCGAGGACAACCGAAUCCGCACCUCCGUGCCAUCCGUGCCGUUCCUCAAGUUCCUCAUGGGGAAGGCCGCCAAGGUCAUCCUAGCCAACAAUCUGGUGAGCACACGCUUCUCGAUCUGUGCCUGUGGCGUUUUAUUGAUGAAUUUGUGCCGUUUGAGUGUUAGUCUUCUGUUCAUCCAUGAAUCUAUUGGGAGUAAAGGGAAUAUAUAAGAAGAAAAUUAUUUCAGCUAAUAGCUGUAUGUGCUGUAGCCUGUUAGCAUUGUGCUUAAAAUCAUACUAACAAAAAUUGUGAGAAUUAAUUUAGAAUUUCAUUUUCUUACAUUGUUUGUUACGUUUCUACUCAGAAACAUACAGAACAGAGUCCUCUGUCCGGUCCAUGUGAAUUGCUUUUGUAUAUUCGAUUAGUCAUUACAGUAAUUUGUAAAAUAAUUUGUUCAAGUGGCUCCUGCCGCUUUCCACUCCUCACUUGCCGGCCCGUUCGCCACUAGCCGUCGGCCCCUGCCCGCCCGCCUCUCCUGUGGUGCACGGUGCCUGACCCGGCUCUGUAUGUCCGCCUCCCUCGUGCUGCUCGUCGGUCGCCCCCGUCAUUCAGCCUCUUGUGUGGCGCACGGCUGUAUGCCUGUACCUGCUUGAUGUCGGGAGCAACACCACAGGAUGGCCGUGCCGCGCCUUCAUCUCAGACCUCACCGGUAAAUUCCUGGCUUGCUGUUCUGACAAAUGUAAUUUCUAAUCAUGCGUGUUUUUAUUUGAUACGCCGUGUGCUGAGGCUGAGUUCUAAGUGCUACGACUGGAAUUCCCGUUAAUUUCAUAUGUUGCAAUUUUGAAACUGGAUUUUGUGUAUGUAGUUAUUCUAAUGUCCGUUGGAUCAACUCUGUAUUUUCUUCACAUGUUGAACUGACAUGUGAUACUGGGUCUUGUGUACUUUCAACAGCCUUGCAAUUUUCGUUAGGAUUUGGUGCGUGUGCAUUUUCACAUAAUUUCUAACAAUCCAGUUCAUCUUUUCGUUGCGGAAGACUAACCAACCAUGCGCGGAUCGAGUUCAUUCUACUGAGUGUCCCAGGUUGUGUAUGCAAUCCUCCUCUGCAUUUGCAGGCUGUCGAGUCUCUGUGAAGUUCCUUCGCAUAGAUGUUGAUCACAGUUUAACUUCAAAAUGAAAAGAGAAUCCAAUCCAUAUCGUGCUACAGUAAUUUUUGGUGUCAACUAAUUCAAGAGUACUUGAAAUCCGAUGGGGAAUACUGAUGGUGCAUCAAUUUGGACUAAUCUUCUUAUCUAAGACCAAAGUUAGAUGCCCUAGAGGCCUUAACACUAGGAUGACUUAAUCCUUUCAGCAUCUAACAGUUAUUACAAAAAAGAAAGGAGAGAACUCCAGUUAUGGUGAAGAAUGGAUGAGUCUGUUAGAAACUCCAUCUUUUUCUUGUUUCGGUAUUGUCUGCAGCUUGGUUUCAUGAAGAUUCUAUUCUGUAUUUUACGUCACAUUUGAAGGUGUUGGCAAGUAGGCGGCUCUACAUCUUGCCAAUUCAAUUUCUAAUAGGCAUGAGCCCCCUGUGUUCUGGACAAGUAAGGACACAUGCAUAAUUACCUGAUCAUGUAGCAAUUCUGAGUGAGAUGCAUGCAUUUAGAUUGGAUGUUGAAGCGAGCCCGCCAUUUUAUUACUCUAAAAGAACUAUAAGGUGAUAUUUGGCUAUUGCUUUCAGUAUUAGGGAAUCAUAGAAACUGAACUGCAGGGCUUACUAUUGUUUUAUGUGACAUUCCUGUAUACCAUCACGCCAUACUGUUUAUUUUGAGAAAGCUUUCUUUUGCUUGGACAAUUUUUAGUGUAAUGUCGGUAAAUAAGUGCAAACUUGGGUAUAUAUUUUAUUUUCUCAUGUUGUAUUCAUUUUAUCUGUUCUUCUACUGUAGCAAGCAAAUAGAAUCACGCACAAGCUCCAAUUAAUCCUGCGCAAAACUGAUUUUGAAGUGUGGAUUAUGGACUCCUUAUUUAUUCUGUUUCAGACUUAGGAUUGUAGGGAAAAGUGUGGACUAUGGAUUCAUACCAGAACUGGAUUGGCCAUGGCACGUCUUCACCAACUUGUCAUGGCGUCGGCAACAAUAUUCAAGAUUUCUUGUUUCCUUCAUUUUCAAGCAUCUCUCUUGCAGGCGAUAUAUGCAGGUUCAUCAUUCAUGCGAGGGAUAUGAAAGAUGAAACAAAAGUGAAAGGCGUUUACGCCUACAAAGGCAUUCUACUACUUGCAGUUUCUGUAGUUCAAUCAAACAUUACAAUUUUCAAAUUAUAUUUGUUAUGGUUAGAUAUAAAUUUUAAAAGUUUCGAGGUUC